rnacentral:snRNA from 1 species
AUGCUCUGGUUUCUCUUCAGAUCACAAAAAUCUUUCGCCUUUUCCUAAGGAUUUCUGUGGAGAGGAGCGCUCAUCAGUUCCACUUGACCCUUGCAUCAUUUAAGUGU